rnacentral:tRNA from 1 species
GAGGCUUUAUCUUAAUUAGAGUAUCUGAGUUGCAUUCAGAAGAUAUAGGUUAGUGUCCUAUAAGUCUUA